UGAGAUGUGAGGGAGAGGAAAGGGAACUAGGGGAGAGAGAGAACGCCCGGAAGAGGCUGGGGAAGAAGAGAGAUGCGUAGAAGAUGCCCGAAAGAUAUUAAUUCUUUGGCCAGAUAAAAAACGAUGUACUGGAGGGUGCGUCCCAUCAGGCUGACGUGGCUGCUAUGGGACGCCUCACAAGCGACGAGCGCUGCGACUCGGGCACUCGGCCGCCGCCACCGCCAUCUCGCUCCCUCCGGCUACCACGCCCACCACCCUCCUCCACUCUCAGGCCGAAGCCCUCGCCGCCUCUCCCACGAAGAUCCGGCAGCGCGGCGCUCUUCCUGGAGUUCAUCUCGUCCCGGUCCAAGAUCCCCACCGAGCUGCUCAUCCACCCGCCGCCCUGCUCGCGCUCCCUGCCUCCCUUCCAUGUAGUGAUGUAGAUCCAUCUCGCGGUCCAGAGCUCCUUCCCCUACGUACGAAGCCCCCCUGCAGGCAGUACACCGUGUCACCGGCUGGCCCACGCCCGCCGACGUCCUCUGCCUCCUCUCCGUCGACGCGCUGCCUGCUUUGGAGGAUUUUGACGCCUGGCUCGCCAAUAAGCUUCUGCAGAUCCUACGAGACGUAGUACAGAACUCGGGGUCACAAUUCAUAAGGGAAGGAGAAGGACUUGGAGGAGCUCGAGUGAGCAGCAGGUUAGGAAGUUCACUGAGCACAGUAUCUUCAGAAUCGGCAUUCAGCUGUGAUGGCAGAAUUCUGGGGGAUUAUCGAAGCUCAAUGAAGCCAGAAAUGGUCGAGGCACUGGUUUGUAGUAAAGAUUGGUUGACUGAACUUCCGGAGAACGAAGGUAAAGACCCAAUGGUGAUUGUCUCCUAGAUCUUUGAUCUCCAUCAAUGCCUACAGAUGAUUGUGCAUUUCUGCUGCUGUCUGCUGCUGGGCACCUGAACUUUGACAUGGAGUGAUGCUGAUAAUAUUCAUGAACUGCGAUAUGAAGCGAAGGCCUCUACCCGCAACCAUUUUCAUUGCCAUGGAGUUCAGCCCUUUUUAUGGUUACUAGUGUCGCUAGAGCUUGUGUUGCUUGAUGAGAAGAGCAUGAUUAUCUUGAUGAACUGUAAAUCUAUUAUGUGCACCAUCUCAGCGUCGUUUUCUUUUAGAUGUGUUUUAUUUCUGUUUUUUGGGACCUCUAGACCGAUUAUCAUCCUCGGUUAAUGUAUCUGGGGACACUGAUAUGAAUUAAUCAUAUUAUUACAUGAGAGCCUGACAUCGAUGUAUAUCUAAUGAUGCCAUGAAUUUUGUUACUGUAAUU